rnacentral:rRNA from 1 species
CCUACGGGAGGCAGCAGUGAGGAAUAUUGGUCAAUGGACGAGAGUCUGAACCAGCCAAGUAGCGUGAAGGAUGACUGCCCUAUGGGUUGUAAACUUCUUUUAUAUGGGAAUAAAACGUUCCACGUGUGGGAUUUUGUAUGUACCCUAUGAAUAAGGAUCGGCUAACUCCGUGCCAGCAGCCGCGGUAAUACGGAGGAUCCGAGCGUUAUCCGGAUUUAUUGGGUUUAAAGGGAGCGUAGGUGGAUUGUUAAGUCAGUUGUGAAAGUUUGCGGCUCAACCGUAAAAUUGCAGUUGAAACUGGCAGUCUUGAGUACAGUAGAGAUGGGCGGAAUUCGUGGUGUAGCGGUGAAAUGCUUAGAUAUCACGAAGAACUCCGAUUGCGAAGGCAGUUCACUGGACUGCAACUGACACUGAGGCUCGAAAGUGUGGGUAUCAAACAGGAUUAGAUACCCGGGUAGUC